AGUGGCGGACGGGUGAGUAAUGUCUGGGAAACUGCCCGAUGGAGGGGGAUAACUACUGGAAACGGUAGCUAAUACCGCAUAACGUCUUCGGACCAAAGUGGGGGACCUUCGGGCCUCACACCAUCGGAUGUGCCCAGAUGGGAUUAGCUAGUAGGUGGGGUAAUGGCUCACCUAGGCGACGAUCCCUAGCUGGUCUGAGAGGAUGACCAGCCACACUGGAACUGAGACACGGUCCAGACUCCUACGGGAGGCAGCAGUGGGGAAUAUUGCACAAUGGGCGCAAGCCUGAUGCAGCCAUGCCGCGUGUAUGAAGAAGGCCUUCGGGUUGUAAAGUACUUUCAGCGGGGAGGAAGGCGAUGAGGUUAAUAACCUUAUCGAUUGACGUUACCCGCAGAAGAAGCACCGGCUAACUCCGUGCCAGCAGCCGCGGUAAUACGGAGGGUGCAAGCGUUAAUCGGAAUUACUGGGCGUAAAGCGCACGCAGGCGGUCUGUCAAGUCGGAUGUGAAAUCCCCGGGCUUAACCUGGGAACUGCAUUCGAAACUGGCAGGCUAGAGUCUUGUA
rnacentral:rRNA from 1 species